rnacentral:tRNA from 1 species
AUCUUAUUAGUUUAAAAGAAAACAACGAUUUGUGGUAUCGUAAAUAUAUAAAAGUAUAUAAGAUU